UGAGAAGUUGGAGAGAUAUCGUAUACAUGGUGUUUGCUUGGACCUUUUCAGAUCAUACCUAUUUGACCGGCAACAGAUAGUUGUAUUGGAUAACAAUGGAAGUGAAGCUCUCAAAAUAACAAGGGGAGUUGUACAGGGUUCGAGACUAGGCCCUCCACUAUUCCUUGUGUAUAUUAAUGACAUGCCACACACCAUAACUUUGAUUGUCUCUGUUUCAACUAGCAUAUUACCAAGAACAGUUGUUCCCUUCAUUUUUGCCGAAGACACAACAUAUGCAGUUGAGAUUGAAGAUAUCA